rnacentral:misc_RNA from 1 species
UCACUAUGUUCUCUGUUCUUGCUGCUUUCCCUAUCAUCCCUCUCCCUCCCUCCCUCUCUGCUUCUCUCCCUUCGUUCUCUGUCAACCACACCUGCAAACGUAUCAUUCUUGUUAACAUAGUAUAUGACCUGUUCCAACAGGCAAUCAUUGCAAAGAAUCCCUUCAAGUGCUCAUACAAUUUAAACAAAAAAAAGUUCAAGCCAAUGUGCAAAAUAAUAUAUUUCCGAAGAAAAAUAAAAGUCCACAGAAUGUGGCCUAGAGGGUACAAUACCGUCCUCCAUUUUUCAUAUGUGUUAAGUGCAACAAGAUUAGAUUGAUCAAUCCAGUCAUGUGGUUUCAAAUCAAACUUUUUAAAAUUUUCAGAUCAGAUUUGAAUUUUCAAUAUUCAUUGAAUACUCAAUCCAAAUAGAUAUGCAUGCAUACAUAUUUGAGAAACACACAGACAUUUACAAGGGUAGAAGUUUUUAUUAAUUAAUUUUACAAAAUAUUAACUACUAUUUUAAUAAUGUUGUAUCACAGAAUUUUCUUUUUUCUUUUUCUCCAAAAUUGGCUAUAUGAAAAUCUUUAAAUAAAAAAAAAGUUAAUUAAACCAUUAAAAUCAGAUAGAUGAUUAACUGGAUACCUAAUGUUUUCAAAUGGAUUCAGGAUUUUCAAAUUUCCGAUCAGACAAUUUUAAAAAAAAAAAAAAUGUAGCAGAUCAAAUAUCUAAUUCAUUCCCAGCCCCAAGCCAAAUAAUGACAAACACUUUUAUACACACAUCUAAUUAAAAUGUAUUUAGUUUUAACUCUUGAAACAGAUGGCUUUAUGUUUGACAUAUAGUCAGACAGGGAAACAACCAAUAGUAUAAGAGGGAGUAUCAUAGCUCCCUACACACACAUAAUCAGAGAAAUGCUCACUCACCUAGCUCCUCAACCUCCCAUCCUGCACGCCCAGCACCAGGAGGCAAUCUUCCAGAUUCAGCUUGUUGGGUUUUAACACGGAACUUUUUCUUCAGGUUGCCAAAUUCAUCAUAUAACUCACCAUCAUCCUGAUAGUGGAUUGUAAGAACUGUAAAACAAGAAUGUAUCAAAUAAUUACAAAAUCAUGAUAGUGAAAGUAGAUCUUACUUCUUCUGCUUCCUUCCGACGUCGCCUAGUUUCCUCUAUUUCUUCUUCAUCAAGUUCUUUGUAACCACCACCUCGCCCUCCCCUGUGCAAUGGGAACAAACAAAUAUCAGCAGAUUUUUUUACAGAAACCAUAACAUAGCCAAGGAGGGAGGAGUUGAAAGGAACUAAAGUGACAGCUUAGUGGGCCCCAUAUAAAAACAGUAAACUAAAUAUGAGACUUCAGAAAAAUUUAAUCUGAUUCCUUUUGGAUAGAAAAUGGCUGGCUGUGAUAUGCAUAUAGGAAUGGGUACGUAAAUGCUGUUAUCCUAUGAAUAGAAUUGUGACAUUAUACCCCAUUGAUUUGUUUAAAAACAUGCAGAGUUAAUGCAAAGAAAAAGAAAAAGAAAAUCCUAAAAUACGCUUUGGUCCAUACUUUUAAACUUAGCAAUUUUAGUCAUUACACUACCAUCAGUGAGAAGUACGACUAAAGCAUUUUAUAAUAUAAAAAUUCAGGGAUUACAGUGGAAUUAAAUUUUAAAAUUUUAGGAAUUAAAGUGUGGUCUAAUUAAACAUUCAGGACUAAACUAAACUGUAAUGAAAAAUUCAUAAUUUUGUAAUCAAGUAUAUAAACCACAAGGAUCAAAAUUGCUCAUUUUGAAACAGUGAGGACUAAAGUGUAUAUUAUGAUAGACCUUAGGGAAUUUUUUUUGCAAUUAACCUAUAAAUGUAAUGCAGGAAUUUGUUGAAAAAACAAUUGAGCUCUUUUGUCAAUGUAAGACACCAGUAUACUUAAAUUCAAAGAUUUAUAUUAACUUCUACAUAUGUUUGUGAUAUCCAAUAAGUAUGACAAAAGGCAUGAGAAAGCUUGUUAUUUCACUCCCCAUAAACUUAUUAAAAAGAACUGCACCACAGGAACUCCAAGAAACAAGGUGGGAAAGAGAAGGAAAAAAAAAGAUCCAUAACCAAGUAAUUAAUAUAUGGUAGGGAAGGAUAUAAACCUAUCACAGCAGGCUUACAACAAUCAUCAGCCUUGAGCCCUUAGCCUUAAGAACAUCAAAACAAACAGAACUAAAACAAACUGAAGCAAUUAUCAUGUAUACCUCACACCACCCUCACUGUGACCAGGUUUAUUGGUGUUGCAAAUAUUGCACUUUGUACGUUUUGCCCAGUUGACAUUGCCACACAUUGGACAAGGCCAGUCAUUGGGACCAAAAAGUCCUGUAGAACCAGUGGCAGACCGAUUGGGGGCCCCAGAAUUAUGGGCACUAUGACCCCUCCCACGACCACCAGCCCCUGAGCUUCCACCAAAGGCACCAGAAGGUCGAGCACUUCCACAUCGGUUGCACACACCUCGGAAAGCAAAAUUGACAUUGGAACAACUUGUAUUUGGACACAACCAGUCUCCAUCCUGUUGCCAUGCUUUCCCAGCAGCCUCACCCAUGCCUCUACCUCUUCCAACACCAACACCAUUCAUACCCCUAGCACUUUCUUCCAACCCACCAAAAUCACCACCAACAAUUGGAACAGCCCCAGAGUUAUAUGUGUGGUCAUCUUUGCUUUUGGACUCUGCCAUAAAUACUCCAAUUAUAUUACCAUGAAAAUCCUUGUUGUUGAACCAUUCAACAGCAGCUAAAGCAGCAUGUGGAUCCUCAUAUGUAACCGUAGCAUCCCCCUUUGGCUCAUUUGUUAUCUUGUCCCGAUAAAACCAUAUCCUAGGCCGACCGGUUCGCUUGUCUUUCUUUAGCAACCCAAUGGUGCCAAAAUAUUCAGCCAACAUAUUUUCGUCAGUGCCCUGAGGCAAGUUACAAACAUAGACAGACCCAUUUGAAGGGGCUCCUUUUCCUGAAUAGGUUGCCAUCGUGCUCCAAUUUCAUCAAAUUUAACACAAACAAAACUGCUUCUCAGCUCUGAAGAUUGAAGAAUCGAAUCAGAAGUAGAAGUCAAUUUCAGGAUCCUUUAGUUUCAUUAGGGGUUUCUUCGUCUAGCCGGAAAUCACAAACGAGAGAACAAGCCUGCUGAUUGAGCCCUUGCACAGUAGUCGCGAUUAGAGCUCAAAAGGAAAAGGGAAAAAGGAU